AAGACAAAAAAAUUUUAAAAACCAUAUCCAAGCUCAAAAAUAAGGUAUCAAUUGCUGUGGACCAGAAAGCGAACAGAAUAUCAAGGGAUUAAGUGGACUCAUGGGUCUCCUGGGCUCCAGAGCUGGAAGCAUGAGUUAGAGUCCUGGAGUUUGGCUUCUGCAGGUCUACAGAGACCCUAGGAGCCCCAAGUUAGCAGAAAACCAGGCAGGUUCACUGAGUGAAGCCAGGGCUGGGGUGCAGCUCCCAUUUGGGAAAAGGAGGCCUGGGAAAACAGCAGCCUGCUGCAAGAGGCAACAGCCCUGUGAAGACAUUGGAUAGUGAAAUUGGAGAGACGGGGAAAAAGGCAUAGACUAGCCACUAGGAAGUGAAACCAAGCGGUCACAGGUUCUCUGACCAGAUAUGAGAUACCCAUACCCCAAUAUCACCCCCAGAACAAGAGACACAAAACACACAUCCAGCUAGAGGCAACCAUAAAAUUUACAUGAAAUGUAAAGUUUUUAGAAAACUAUGAAUUAUCAUAGUUGACUGAGAAAAAUAGAAAGCCUGCACAAUUGGUAAUUCCUGAAGAAAUGGAAUCAGUCAUCAAAAUCUCCUCCCCAAAAAGCACCAGAUGCCGGCAGUUUUAAAGGUAACUUAGCAAAUCUGUAAGAAAUGGAUAAUUCCUAUUUUACAAAAUAUUUGAGAGAAAAGAAAAUAAUGGAAAGUUACCCAUCUCAUUUUAUUGAUACCAAAAUAUGACAAGGACAGUACAAGUAAUAAAAUUAUAAACAAUUCUUGUGAAUACAGAUAUAAAAAUCCUAAAUAAAAUACAAGCAAAUAAACUUCAGGAACAUAUUUUUUGAAGUGUGACCAGGUACUCUUAUCCAAGGAAUAUAAAUAAAGAUGCUCUAAUAUAAAAAUAAAAAAUAAAAAUUAAAACUCUGCUUUCACAUUACCCAGGCCUGUUGUGCUCACGUUUUAGUUCUGAUUCUUACCAGCAGCCAGGGGCAACACACCUGAACUUUGCAAUUAAGAAUCUCAGUUUCCUUAUCUGGAAAAUUGGAGAUGUAAUAAUACACAUCUGUGGGUGGCAGCUUCAUACAGGGCUUGACAAUAGCUAGUACUUAAUAAAAGCUUUGUUUCUUUUGUAUUAAUAAUAUUAAUCCCAUUCACUCCUAUCUCUUUUCUCUCUCACACGUAAUGUCCUUAAGUCUACACCAAAAAAAGCUAAGUCAUGUUAAGCCUUUGACCUAAUUGAUGUAGCACAUUCUUCUUAGCAGUGUGUGAGAUGCAUUUAUUUCUAAGAAGGCUGGGCAGGUCCGG
rnacentral:lncRNA from 1 species